rnacentral:rRNA from 1 species
UCAGGCCUAACACAUGCAAGUCGAACGGCAGCACAGCAGAGCUUGCUCUGUGGGUGGCGAGUGGCGGACGGGUGAGUAAUGCAUCGGGACCUACCUGAACGUGGGGGACAACGUAGGGAAACUUACGCUAAUACCGCAUACGUCCUACGGGAGAAAGCGGGGGACCUUCGGGCCUCGCGCGGUCAGACGGACCGAUGUUCGAUUAGCUAGUUGGUAAGGUAACGGCUUACCAAGGCGACGAUCGAUAGCUGGUCUGAGAGGAUGAUCAGCCACACUGGGACUGAGACACGGCCCAGACUCCUACGGGAGGCAGCAGUGGGGAAUAUUGGACAAUGGGGGCAACCCUGAUCCAGCAAUGCCGCGUGUGUGAAGAAGGCCUUCGGGUUGUAAAGCACUUUUAUCCGGAACGAAACGCGCAGGGUGAAUAUCCUUGCGAACUGACGGUACCGGAGGAAUAAGCACCGGCUAACUUCGUGCCAGCAGCCGCGGUAAU